AUUGAACGCUGGCGGAAUGCUUUACACAUGCAAGUCGAGCGGCAGCGCGGGGCAACCUGGCGGCGAGCGGCGAACGGGUGAGUAAUGUAUCGGAACGUGUCCUGUCGUGGGGGAUAGACCGGUGAAAACCGGAUUAAUACCGCAUACGAUCGAGAGAUGAAAGUGGGGGACCGCAAGGCCUCACGCGAUAGGAGCGGCCGAUAUCUGAUUAGCUAGUUGGUGGGGUAAAGGCCCACCAAGGCUUCGAUCAGUAGCUGGUCUGAGAGGAUGAUCAGCCACACUGGGACUGAGACACGGCCCAGGCUCCUACGGGAGGCAGCAGUGGGGAAUUUUGGACAAUGGGGGCAACCCUGAUCCAGCCAUUCCGCGUGAGUGAAGAAGGCCUUCGGGUUGUAAAGCUCUUUUGUCCGGGAAGAAACGGUUUUGGCUAAUAACCAAGACUACUGACGGUACCGGAAGAAUAAGGACCGGCUAACUACGUGCCAGCCGCCGCAGUAA
rnacentral:rRNA from 1 species